rnacentral:rRNA from 1 species
UACGUAGGGGGCAAGCGUUGUCCGGAUUUAUUGGGCGUAAAGCGCUCGCAGGUGGUUCGUCGCGUCGUGCGUGAAAGACCCCGGCUCAACUGGGGAGGGUCGUGCGAUACUGUUUAACUUGAAGGCAGGAGAGGGUAGUGGAAUUCCCGGUGUAGUGGUGAAAUGCGUAGAUAUCGGGAGGAACACCAGUGGCGAAGGCGACUACCUGGCCUGUUCUUGACGCUGAGGCGCGAAAGCUGGGGGAGCAAACGGG